GAUGUGCACCAGUGAUGUCAGAGCAGAGCAGUGGCCCAGGGAGGGUGAGGGCACCUCUGACCCCAGGCUCUGAUGUGGAGUAGAGCUCUCAGAUGUCACUCUUUGUUGAACUGGUGUUUUCUGACGUGUGCAGAUAACUUAAACAUGAGCAGCUUUCCUAAGGUGGAGCAGCGUACUGGUGAAGUGGGAACUUUCCUUUAUUCCUGCUGGUGGAAAUUUGCCUUUUCCCUCUUCUCCCCUUCUGCCCGGAGCCGAGUGUGGCAAUAGAUGGCACUGCUGGGACAGGCUGGAACCUCUGCCCUCUGUGCUGUGGCCACAGCACCUGCACUUGGUGUCCCAGCUGCAGACACAGGAAUUGGGCAAAUCCGGUGCACAUUGCCUGCAGCAAGACUCCGAAUUCCUAGCUGAAUUUCUGCUGCAGCAAGACACUGUUUGCACCUGAAUUUCUGCUUCUGUUUACAUGCAGUGGAAAAGGAGGCUGCGAGCAUCAAAGGGCAUGUCUGGAAACUUCUGCCUGUGAAAAUCCAGAGCAGCAAAGCAUCUGGGAGCUGCCUGGAGGAGCUGUGAGCCACAACUGUGGUCCGUGCAGGACAGAUCCACAUCCCACAAACCCUCUGAGAAGCUCCCAUUGAGCUAGAGGUCCUGGGAAGGAAGAAAAGGGCUGUUGCCUGUGGGGUCAACAGGAGGGUGAUGUAGGCCCUGCGUUUUUUUUUUUUGCUUCUCCUGUUUCUCCUAAAGUAUCCUGCAGCCACAGCAGCAGUUCAAGGUGAAAUAGAAAAAGCAACUAUAGAAGCAGAGGACAAGCUGCAAAGCUGAUACGUGGAGGUAGCCAGGGGAUGCUUGACCACACGGCCGCUCUGGGCUGGUGCUCCUCUUCUGCAUAAUUUGGUUACCAAUAACUCUGAGCUGUACUCUCCUAGAAAUUAAUUUACCAGAACAACUGGACAACUUAGGAGACUGUGUUCAAGGGGACUGGCUGCCCUGGGUUUGUGGUUUGCAGCACUGUGCAUACCGUCGUGUUGCUGUACAAAUUGCUCAUGUGGGAUGCAAAGUAAUGAGAUUUAUACAACAUUUUGCAAGGGAAGAAGUGAGAGAUUUAUUUUGCUCCUGUUGAACUCUUCUGAAUUGGAAUUGAAAGACAUCUGGUGACAAAUCUCAGAGUUUACCAAGGAAAGACCCUGCUUUGGGAUGUUACGGCCAGAAAAGGACAUCAGGGUUCAAUAUAAACUGAAAAUUGAGUAAAACAGCAAGGGCUUGCCUUCCAUCUACUGGUCAUCUUCUUCCCUGUAUGCUUGUCAAAAAAUGCUACAGUGCUGCUUUUUAAACCAAAUAAGUCUCUUGGGAUGAAAAAGUGGUAGAAAAAAUUGCACUCAAAAAAUACCAUUGCUAUACAUCAGCUUUGUAGCUGUGAGACUGCAGCUUUGAUGCUGAGUGCCUGCGAGUGCUUGGGGAGCUCCAGCAUGCUGUACGGUCGUUUUGAGUAACUAAACGCUAGAUACAUUCAGAGAAAACUGCAUCCUGGAGGCGCAUUUCAAGGGAAAACAUAACUGUCAGAAUCUAUAGGAUGUAACUUGCAAUUAAGUUUGCACAUUCAUCCAUUUUCUUGCAAAUCCUUGGGUAGACGGGAGCUAAAUAUAGCUAAUGGACUCAUGAGCUCAAGUACACGCAGUGCUGUGCUUUUAUUUCUAUAGAGUGAAGCCCAGGGUCUGAGCACAGAGCUGAUAGUCAUUGACGGCAACGUAACGAGGGAGGACUGGAGGGAAGAUACUCUGGAGUGACUCAGCAUCGUCACUCUAUGUAGAAAGUGCAUUAGUGCAGUAUGGAGCCACUGGGGAAGAGAAAACCUCCUGUUGGAAUUUAGGCUCCCAACCCAAACAGCGGUCGCCCAGAAGGCUGCACAGGACGCAGCUGGGCAGGAGGCGCUCAAGUGGGUGUUCAUGGGACACCGUGUUUGUGUGGUGUUCCCCAAGGGCCGGAGCUGCCCGGCUCAGAGCAGCAACAGUGCCUUCCUGGCAGCACCAAUGAGGUGCCUUCCCCUGACAGACCAGUUGUGUUUGAAGCAGAGGAGAGGAGGAGGCAGUUGAUUUUAUGACUUUAUUCCAGACCUGGGCAGUCCUAUUUCUUUCUGACAGCCAAGCAGGACUUUCCAGUGCCUUUGGUAAGCCUGGUAGCACCUGGUCUGAAGGAACAGAAGGACUAGGGCUUGCUUUGCUUGUAAUUGCUGUUGUCUACAUGUACCGUCCUGCAAGGCGCUGACUGGAAAGUGAAUCUCGCCCCAUGCUGCAGAUCUCUGUGCUGAGACAGCCCCCAGUUCUCUUCUGGGGGGUGCUCCUUCAGGGUCUGGAAAGGUUGCAUUUAACCCUGGAAACUGUGAGCAGAACAACGGGUUUGCUUGUAUUUACAAAGUCACCUCCCCUAAAAUGUGCUUUAGUCCAUAUCGGAGCUGGAGCAUCACAUUUCUCCUGAUCAAGCAAAUGGUUGGGAGACUCAGUCUCAGGUUGCACUGCAAAGGCUUGUAAAGCAAACCACUGAAGUUCCUGGGAUGGUUCCCCAGACAUUGCUGCUUGUUUUGUGCAUGUUCCUAUCCUAAUUAAUCUUUUUCCAUGGGGAAACACUUGUUUUAGUCAAUUUCUUGCAAAAUCAAACCGGUCGUUCUUGGUUUGCUAAAUUAAAAUCCAUGAAGAUGGAUGCUUUAAGAAUAGAUGUUUUGAGACCUGCUGUCCACAUUGAUUCUGACUUUACAGCAAGAAGGCUGGUGCACAUCUGCUCUGCAGGCGUAUGGGUACAAGAUGAAGCUGGGUUCUUCGAUAGGCAAAAAUGAGACAUAGAGGGACAAUGUUUCUAGUGUCACACGCUCAGUGGUCUGGGACCGCGAGGGUGAGUUGUACCUGUGCAAUACUCCUUCAGAUCUUUGCAUGUCUGCAGUAGAAUGCUGUCCUUACCUUCAAGAGCCCACUGAUGAGCUCUUCUAUAAGGACUCAUCAGUGGACAAUGUCACCUCAUCAGCCAUAGAGAGGAGGCAGAGAAGAGCUACUGGUGCUGGGGAAGCGAAACAGCUGAGUUAUCCUCAAGUUAUCGUUAUAGAAGCUUCAAGCAAAUAUCGUUUUUAUUACAGAAUAAAAUACUUUUAUUACCCAGAAGGAACUAUGCAAGCUCAGAAAUUGUGCUUUUUACAAUGCAUCUUUACUGAAUUCCCUUGUCUGCAGGGUUCCUGGGUGCUAUUAGCUGCUUUAACUGGAAAAUCAGCUGCUGGGACUCCGGGCGUUUGCUUGCGGAGGCAGCAUAUUCCCUGUAGCUCCCAGCCCCCAGGGUUCACCCAGCCCACAUCAGCCUGUGAACGGCUGCCAUCCAUCUCCCUUCCACCUUUCCUUUGAGAGCAGUGUUCAGGAGAGGAAAGACCAGGGCAAAGAAGGAAUUGUACAGCCACACGUGGCUCCCAAAAAGUCAGUUAAUGUUUUACCAUUUUUUUUUUCUGCAGAAAGAAUGAAAACGCCCACGCAGGACAAAUAGCCUUGGGCUAGGAAUAAAUUGUAGUUGCUUUAUGGAGCUUAAGAUCUAUUGAAGUGAUACUUGUGUUGCUCUUGGUAAUCAGAGCUGAAUUGCUCUUUGGUUUCUCUGAGUGUCCCCUGUGCAACCCUUCCCAUAUCAAAGGAGAUGGUCUGGACAAGGCAGGCAAAGAUCGCCACACAUGUCAGGCUUGAGAAGAAGGCUUUUGAUGUGUUGCUGAGCAGAGGUAUUUAAUUAAUCUUCUCUAUUGAUUUUGAUGGAGAACCGCCUUCAAUUUUUAUGUGCGAGAGAAAGAGACUGAAGAGCAGCCAUCUGUAAGAUGGCCAAGCGAGUGCUGGGCUCGGUUUGCUCGCCUCUGGUUUUCCAGUGCAAUCCUGUGGUUGACCUUUGUGAACAUGCCAGAAAACAGAUAGGCUGAGGGAGUUGAAGGAAACUGGAGAGAACACCUCCAAAUACUUUAUGUCUCCUCAGCACGCAGGGUGAUACAGGAGGUAUGUGAAGAGUGGAGAAACUCCCCUCUCCUUCCAGCAGGUGAGUGACGGCCCCCGAGCAGAGACAGCACAUGCAGAGGACCUGCUCUGUGUUGGGACUGAAGGGGAGAAGGAAGGUGGACAUCCCUCAGCGUCAGUUACCAGGGCAGGGCAUGUCAGCGCUUCCAACUGCCGUACAUGGGCUGAGCUUGAAACUGAAGGGCCAUCAAAGGAUUUCGGAGAACGAUUGCAAAAUAUUGAAAUGUUUGCUCUUCCGACGUGACAAGGGUAACAAGUUAGGAGUUUGCUGGGAUCUCCCAAUUUACUGUGGUGUAACUGCUUGAACUUAGGGCCUUUUAAAUUGUGCAUUACAUUGACUGGGUUGUUAAUAUUUAAUCUAUGGAAAAAGACAAAGGUA